GAUGGCGACCGGCGCACGGGUGAGUAACACGUAUCCAACCUGCCGAUAACUCGGGGAUAACCCUUCGAAAGAAGGCCUAAUACCCGAUGGCAUAUCCCUUCCGCCUGGUGGGGAUAUUAAAGAACUUCGGUUAUCGAUGGGGAUGCGUUCCAUUAGCUUGUUGGCGGGGUAACGGCCCACCAAGGCUUCGAUGGAUAGGGGUUCUGAGAGGAAGGUCCCCCACAUUGGAACUGAGACACGGUCCAAACUCCUACGGGAGGCAGCAGUGAGGAAUAUUGGUCAAUGGACGAGAGUCUGAACCAGCCAAGUAGCGUGAAGGAUGAAGGUCCUAUGGAUUGUAAACUUCUUUUAUACGGGAAUAAAGUGCAGUAUGCAUACUGUUUUGUAUGUACCGUAUGAAUAAGGAUCGGCUAACUCCGUGCCAGCAGCCGCGGUAAUACGGAGGAUCCGAGCGUUAUCCGGAUUUAUUGGGUUUAAAGGGAGCGUAGGCGGAUGCUUAAGUCAGUUGUGAAAGUUUGCGGCUCAACCGUAAAAUUGCAGUUGAUACUGGGCGUCUUGAGUACAGUAGAGGCAGGCGGAAUUCGUGGUGUAGCGGUGAAAUGCUUAGAUAUCACGAAGAACUCCGAUUGCGAAGGCAGCCUGCUGGACUGUCACUGACGCUGAUGCUCGAA
rnacentral:rRNA from 1 species